rnacentral:rRNA from 1 species
GAUGAACGCUGGCGGCGUGCCUAAUACAUGCAAGUCGAGCGAACGGACGAGAAGCUUGCUUCUCUGAUGUUAGCGGCGGACGGGUGAGUAACACGUGGAUAACCUACCUAUAAGACUGGGAUAACUUCGGGAAACCGGAGCUAAUACCGGAUAAUAUUUUGAACCGCAUGGUUCAAAAGUAAAAGACGGUCUUGCUGUCACUUAUAGAUGGAUCCGCGCUGCAUUAGCUAGUUGGUAAGGUAACGGCUUACCAAGGCAACGAUGCAUAGCCGACCUGAGAGGGUGAUCGGCCACACUGGAACUGAGACACGGUCCAGACUCCUACGGGAGGCAGCAGUAGGGAAUCUUCCGCAAUGGGCGAAAGCCUGACGGAGCAACGCCGCGUGAGUGAUGAAGGUCUUCGGAUCGUAAAACUCUGUUAUUAGGGAAGAACAUAUGUGUAAGUAACUGUGCACAUCUUGACGGUACCUAAUCAGAAAGCCACGGCUAACUACGUGCCAGCAGCCGCGGUAAUACGUAGGUGGCAAGCGUUAUCCGGAGUUAUUGGGCGUAAAGCGCGCGUAGGCGGUUUUUUAAGUCUGAUGUGAAAGCCCACGGCUCAACCGUGGAGGGUCAUUGGAAACUGGAAAACUUGAGUGCAGAAGAGGAAAGUGGAAUUCCAUGUGUAGCGGUGAAAUGCGCAGAGAUAUGGAGGAACACCAGUGGCGAAGGCGACUUUCUGGUCUGUAACUGACGCUGAUGUGCGAAAGCGUGGGGAUCGAACAGG